GCCUUCAUAGUGUAGUGGUCUGCAUGUUCGACGCGUAACCGAGAGGUCCGUGGUUCGAUUCCCGGCGAAGGCG
rnacentral:tRNA from 1 species